GAUGAACGUUGGAGGCGGGCCGAAUACAUGCAAGUCGAGCGAACAGAUGAGGAGCUUGCUCCUCUGACGUUAGCGGCGGACGGGUGAGUAACACGUGGAUAACCUACCUAUAAGACUGGGAUAACUUCGGGAAACCGGAGCUAAUACCGGAUAAUAUAUUGAACCGCAUGGUUCAAUAGUGAAAGACGGUUUUGCUGUCACUUAUAGAUGGAUCCGCGCCGCAUUAGCUAGUUGGUAAGGUAACGGCUUACCAAGGCAACGAUGCGUAGCCGACCUGAGAGGGUGAUCGGCCACACUGGAACUGAGACACGGUCCAGACUCCUACGGGAGGCAGCAGUAGGGAAUCUUCCGCAAUGGGCGAAAGCCUGACGGAGCAACGCCGCGUGAGUGAUGAAGGUCUUCGGAUCGUAAAACUCUGUUAUUAGGGAAGAACAAAUGUGUAAGUAACUAUGCACGUCUUGACGGUACCUAAUCAGAAAGCCACGGCUAACUACGUG
rnacentral:rRNA from 1 species